rnacentral:rRNA from 1 species
UGAGGAAUAUUGGUCAAUGGGCGGGAGCCUGAACCAGCCAAGCCGCGUGAAGGACGACAGAUCUAUGGUUCGUAAACUUCUUUGGCGCGGGAGCAAAGUGGCCCAUUCGGUGGGCCGAUGAGCGUACCGCGAGAACAAGCAUCGGCUAACUCCGUGCCAGCAGCCGCGGUAAUACGGAGGAUGCGAGCGUUAUCCGGAUUUAUUGGGUUUAAAGGGUGCGCAGGCGGCCCGUUCAAGUCGGCGGUGAAACAUCGGGGCUCAACCCCGCGCAGCCGUCGAAACUGAGGGGCUUGCGUCCGGCGGAGGCAUGCGGAAUGCGUCGUGUAGCGGUGAAAUGCAUAGAUAUGACGCAGAACUCCGAUUGCGAAGGCAGCAUGCCGCGCCGGCACGGACGCUGAGGCACGAAAGCGUGGGGAUCGAACAGG